CCUACGGGGGGCUGCAGUAGGGAAUAUUGGACAAUGGAGGAAACUCUGAUCCAGCCAUCCCGCGUGAAGGAUUAAGGUCCUAUGGAUUGUAAACUUCUUUUCUUUGGGAAUAAAAUCUCCGAUUCUUCGGAGCUUGAAGGUACCAGGGGAAUAAGCACCGGCUAACUCCGUGCCAGCAGCCGCGGUAAUACGGAGGGUGCAAGCGUUAUCCGGAUUCACUGGGUUUAAAGGGUGCGUAGGUGGUUUUGUAAGUCAGUGGUGAAAGCCUACAGCUU
rnacentral:rRNA from 1 species